UUCCACUCCUUGACCCC
rnacentral:misc_RNA from 1 species